UUCAAUCAAUAUCCCACAUACAGAGAUGUGUAAAGUUGAAGAGGAAGGGUAACACUUUAUAAUACCGUUCAGUUAUAAGUCAUUUAUAAAUGAUUAGUUAAUAGAGUGCCGAAGUUAUGACAUCACUUUGUAGGCCAAAACGCGGAAGUGAGUUAGCAUUUUAGCACCUCCGGUUCCCUCGCCCUAAAGUCUAUGGGUUUUUUGAAUGGGUUUUUGCUAAAUCGCCUGAAAUAAGGUCUGUGGUUAACAAAGCCUCUAAAUAUUUUCACGUUUUGAUCUAUGACAUAAAACAAACCAGUUAUAACCUGUUUGUGAUUUUUUAAAACUUUAUUGUGUCUUAAAAACGGUGGUUGCUAACAAGUUGCUAAAAGGGACUACAUCCUUUGGCGGGGACUUUAGACGUCAUCAUGACAAACAUGAAAUCUCUCACUAGCCUGCGUUUCAGCCUCACGUUCUUAGAAGUCUACCUUUCAGUUAAUAUACAUAACGUUAUAUAUAUUAUUAUUAUUAUUAAAUAAAUUAUAUAUUAUAUAUUUAGUCUAAUUGUCGUUUUUCCAAAUAUUGUUGUACACAGAAUUCUGUGAUAUUAAGGUAACCGUUUCCAGUUCUUUAUUUCUGUGGAGAGACUGUAGGUCGAUAAUGGUGUUUUGUUUUGUCCCGAGAUGCAACCACAAGUCGUCGAAUGAAAGAUGCUCGUUUUACCGUUUUCCGUCCGAUGUUACCCAGCGGAGACUCUGGGUUCGUGCCGUAAGACGAGCUGACCGGAAGCCCAGUGUCCAUUCUCGCAUCUGCAGCUGUCAUUUUCCUGCAGGGGAAAAAAAUGCCCCUGUUUUGUUUUUAGUUACCAAACGGAAGUUGUUUUCAGUUUACUUAUUUUAUGAAAAUAAAGAUGUUUACUACAACUCUUGCUGUAAGGUUUCUGUGGCUCAAUUAUUAGAGCAUUUUGUUAACUGUGCAAAAGGUUGCGAGUUCAAUUCCCAGAGAACACGCUGAUAUGUAUAGCCUGAAUACACUGUAUGUCGCCUGUCUGACAAAUACCAAAAAUUAAAUGUUAAACCAGUGCUUCCCAAACCUGUCCUGGAGGACCCCCUGCCCUGCACCUUUUGUAUGUCUUCCUUAUCUAACACACCUGAUUCCACUCAUCAGACCAAAUUGGGCGUGUCUGAUUAGGGAGACAUACAAAAUGUGCAGAGCAGGCAGUCCUCCAGGACAGGUUUGGGAACCACUGUGUUAAACUAUUCUAACUACACUCCAGUCAGCUCACAGUAAUGUGAAUGUGAGAUAAAAUUUACUACACUGGCUCUCACAUUGGGGCUUGUGGAUUACCAGGUAAAAAUAUACAGAAAAUGUGAACAAAAUGAGUAUGGUUUAAUUAUAAUAUAUUAUAAUAAGCAUUUGUUGAUGCUAUUGGACAAUUCUCUUUAAAUUCAACAUAUAUAAUUAUAUACAACUAUUAUAUUAAAUGUUUAGAAUUUAACUGUGUUAUGCUUGUUCAGAGAUUGUUUGUAUAGUUAUCUUAAAUACAUAGAACACUAGCGCGUUUUUUUUCUGGCGAAUUAGCAAAUGGUAUGCAAACAUACAAUCAAACAUAAUACAGUGAAAGAUAAUCUUUAAAGUUUAUUUGGGGCACAAUGAUCAGGCAUAAUAAUCUUAAUCACAAAGAAAAUAAUAUUAAGGUUUAUAUAAACUAACAAAAUAAACGAAUUAAUAAAACAUUAACA
ensembl:lncRNA